rnacentral:rRNA from 2 species
CGGGAUCCGAUUCUUGGUCAUUUAGAGGAAGUAAAAGUCGUAACAAGGUUUCCGUAGGUGAACCUGCGGAAGGAUCAUUAACGCAUCUCUGGCGGCGAGGGUGCGCCCUGCUCCGGACCGAAAGGCCGUGCAGCGGGCUAUCCCGGACCGCUAAACCUUUGCAAACCCACUGUGCACUUUUGUCGGCAAAGGGCCUUAGCGGGCCCUGAGCCGGAUCACAAACACUUUGUCAAUCGAAUGCAAGCGGACAUCGAGCCGCCUAAACUUUAACAACUUUCAACAACGGAUCUCUUGGCUCUCGCAUCGAUGAAGAACGCAGCGAAAUGCGAUAAGUAAUGUGAAUUGCAGAAUUCAGUGAAUCAUCGAAUCUUUGAACGCACCUUGCGCUCCUUGGUAUUCCGAGGAGCAUGCCUGUUUGAGUGUCUUGAAGUCAUCAACCCCUCCCGUUUCGUGCGGAGAGGUGCGUUGGAGUUGGGGGACUGCGGUCGCGAGGCCGCUCCCCUCAAAUGAUUCGGUUGGGCCUGAGGGUCGGACUCGGUCGGGCGUUGUAACAACCUCGCUCCACUCUGAGAAGUUCCCCUGACAUUGUGCCCCUCCACGACCGCCUAUUCGAGCGGCGGUCAAAACAACUUUGAAAUCUGACCUCAAAUCAGGUAGGACUACCCGCUGAACUUAAGCAUAUCAAUAAGCGGAGGAAAUCUAGAUGCAUU